UGACUAGAUUGUGAUGAUGAAAUAUGUGAGCUGGCAAAUGCGUAAGAGCUGCUGGAAUCACAAAGGAAUCAGGCAUGGAAGGGCCUUGGAGUUGACCUGGGUUGGCUCUGGUAGGAGCAAGUAAUUCAGAGUAUUGGAUAAAAGCAUCACACCGGAGAGGACAGCCAAACAUAGCUGUUGGCCUGAGGUCAGCAGAAUCAUACCUGUGGAAACAGUAUAGACAGAUGCAGCAGUAGCCAUCAAGAAUGCUGGCAUGAGUCCUCUGAGGAAUUGUUAUUUAUUAGCCCUUUUCAGUGCUGAGAAGGAAUUCAGCCCUUGCAAGCACCUACAAUUGGUUGGCCUUGUGGUGAAGCUCAUUUGCAGCUUG